rnacentral:rRNA from 1 species
AUUCCAGCUCCAAUAGCGUAUAUUAAAGUUGUUGCAGUUAAAAAGCUCGUAGUUGGAUUUCUGGUGGGAGCGGCAGGUCGGGCUCGCAAGGGCCAUGUACUUAAGUCUGUCUCCGGCCAUCCUUGGGGAGAGCGAUUCUGGCAUUAAGUUGUCGGGGUCGGGAUCCUCAUCUUUUACUGUGAAAAAAUUAGAGUGUUCAAAGCAGGCCUCGGCCUCUGAAUACAUUAGCAUGGAAUAAUAAGAUAGGACUUUGGUGGUCUAUUUUGUUGGUUUGCACGCCAAAGUAAUGAUUAAUAGGGAUAGUUGGGGGUAUUCGUAUUCAAUUGUCAGAGGUGAAAUUCUUGGAUUUAUGGAAGACGAACUACUGCGAAAGCAUUUACCAAGGAUGUUUUCAUCG